rnacentral:rRNA from 1 species
UGUGUAGGCGGCGAGCUAAGUUGAAUGUGAAAUCCCUGGGCUCAACCCAGGAAUUGCAUUCAAAACUGGCUUGCUUGAGUGACUGAGAGGAAAACGGAAUUCCCGGUGUAACAGUGAAAUGUGUAGAUAUCGGGAGGAACACCAGUGGCGAAGGCGGUUUUCUGGCAGUCUACUGACGCUGAAACACGAGAGCAAGGGGAGCAAACA